rnacentral:tRNA from 17 species
GGGCCUAUAGCUCAGUCGGUUAGAGCGCAUCCCUGAUAAGGAUGAGGCCGGUGGUUCAAGUCCACCUAGGCCCA